GCACAUGAGAUGGAGGCAUAGCCCAGGCAAUUCAGUCCAAGUCCAGACAAUUAUCUUAUGGCUUAUUUCUGCAUCAGAUUAUUUAGGGACCUUAUAAGAAUAAACAAAUACUCUCAAAUACAAAAAAAUUUAAAUGAGCUUUUGCUACUCAUUUUCUUUUAGGAAAGUUGCCAUUGUUUUGCUUAUGUGACUGAAAGUCUAGAGUUAAGUAAACUAGCCCAUGAUGUGGGCACUACAGUGUAAACAGGGACCAAACUAUCAUCCU
rnacentral:lncRNA from 1 species